UUUUCCAAAUCACUGCUUGAAAGAGUCGUUGCAUCAAACGGACAUUGUUAUUAGUCUGGUGCCUCACGGAGUGAUAUGGAAGCCUAUAUAGUGCAAAGAGUAAAGAGCAAGAUUCUUCAAUUAUGGAACUUGACGAAUCUUUCUGUUUUUCAAAAAAAAUACAACUCAAUUAUUUGAAUAAAAAGAAGAGUUUUAUUAAACAUAACUGAGAUGUGCUAGCCAACAAAUGCAUCGAGUCCACACACAAGACUUUGAUAUAGAAAAAUAGACUGAUGUUUGAGACUGUAUUUCAUUGCCAUACGUACUUUAAGCUCGUAUAUAUGUGCACUGAUUACUAAUAUGUGAUCGCAAACAAAUGCAUUGGGCAGCACAUACACAUGUCUUUUAUAUCAAAUAAGACUGUUGUUUAAAACUAUACCAAAAUGUCAUACACACUGUAAAAGAAUUAUAUGCGGAAGUUUAACAUGGGUCGACCCGUGAGGAACUAACUAUUUAUGUAAUUUGAAUAAUUGCAAACGGAUUUUUGAUUGUAUAUUUAUUAAUGAAUUGAAUCAU